rnacentral:lncRNA from 1 species
GUCCGGCGGGCGCGGCGGAGUCCGCAGAGGCCGGGGAGGGGGGGACGCCUCUGGGCGGGGGGCGGAGCUGCCUGGGAGGGACUCCCCGCACUCCCGCGCUCCGGCUCCCGCGGCGCUGCCUCAGCUUCUCGGUUGUUUCCUGCUCAUUCAUUCGCUUUUUACAAGCUCCAGAUCUCCUGGUGCUGCUGCUCUACCAACUCUUUUUCUCCCCGAGUUUAAAGCGCCACGAGCACGCGUUUUGCAUGUGGGGGGUAGGGUGAGCCGUGUUUGCCUUCGGGGCUGUUUCAAAUCGUUUGAGGAGGGGAAAGCACCCGGCCUCGGGUUCCAGACCGACAAAAACGGAGAAGCCUUCGCCCUAGAGAAGACCGAGAGCUGCAAAGCUCUCGCUCCCCUGGGACCGGCGGAAGGAAGCUAAGGGCUGGGAGGCAACCCCGCUGCAAUUUCUAACCCUCAAAAAGUGAAAAACCCGAACCCCAAAGGGGAUUUUCACAGGCUGGCCCCUCCCCUUUCCCCACCUCUGUUCCGGCGCCGAGGUCCAGCUGGGGAUUUGCCCGCGCCACUCUCGCCCCUUCUCCCGGGCGGGCGGGCUGAGUGAGGGAUCCCAGCCGGGUCCUCACUCCCGCCCCCUCCCCUCCCCCCAGGAUCCAGGCAGCUGUGAUGUCCUUGCUGUCGCCGCCCCAGUCCGCCGCGCACCAGCUCUGGGGGUGCCGGCCGCGCGCAGCUGCCCGAUUUCUCCUCGCUUCUUGGCUUCCAGGAGGGUCCAGCAGCCCAGGGCUAUGACUAAGGCGCUCACUUGAUCGCAGAGGUGGCGCGGAGCCCGGCGAGCCGAUGACGGACCCCUUCCUCCUGUCUUCAGUGCCUCAACGGAAGAUCCUCAAGGGCUGGAGAGAGAAGGGCUGCUGCUGGACACCCUCCCGGGGAGGCUGCUCCCACCUGCCGCUCGUGGUGUACGAGACUGGGGACUGAGCGAGCCCCAGCCGUCGCUGCCGUCGGUCGGACCGGCCCCCGCCCCGCUCUGCU